UACGUAGGAGGCAAGCGUUGUCCGGAUUUACUGGGCGUAAAGAGCGCGCAGGCGGUCGGAUAAGUCGAAUGUGAAAGCCCCCGGCUCAACUGGGGAGGGUCAUUCGAUACUGUUCGACUCGAAGGCAGGAGAGGGAAGUGGAAUUCCCGGUGUAGUGGUGAAAUGCGUAGAUAUCGGGAGGAACACCAGUGGCGAAGGCGACUUCCUGGCCUGUUCUUGACGCUGAGGCGCGAAAGCUAGGGGAGCAAACAGG
rnacentral:rRNA from 1 species